rnacentral:rRNA from 1 species
AUUGAACGCUGGCGGCAGGCCUAACACAUGCAAGUCGAGCGGAUGAAGGGAGCUUGCUCUCUGAUUUAGCGGCGGACGGGUGAGUAAUGCCUAGGAAUCUGCCUGGUAGUGGGGGAUAACGUUCCGAAAGGAACGCUAAUACCGCAUACGUCCUACGGGAGAAAGCGGGGGAUCCUCGGACCUCGCGCUAUCAGAUGAGCCUAGGUCGGAUUAGCUAGUUGGUGAGGUAAAGGCUCACCAAGGCGACGAUCCGUAACUGGUCUGAGAGGAUGAGCAGUCACACUGGAACUGAGACACGGUCCAGACUCCUACGGGAGGCAGCAGUGGGGAAUAUUGGACAAUGGGCGAAAGCCUGAUCCAGCCAUGCCGCGUGUGUGAAGAAGGUCUUCGGAUUGUAAAGCACUUUAAGUUGGGAGGAAGGGUUGUAGAUUAAUACUCUGCAAUUUUGACGUUACCGACAGAAUAAGCACCGGCUAACUUCGUGCCAGCCGCCGCCGUAAGAC